AGCAGGAGGAGCAGGAGCAGGAGGAGCAGCAGCAGGGCUCCAGCACAGCACCUGAGAGUUCACACUCUAAUAUUUCUCCUCCCUGUUCUACUGUUCUUCUCUUCCCCCAUUCCUCCCUUCUUCUCCCUCCCUCCCCUUUCUUCUUUACUACAAAUCUACGCAACUCCCCCGCUGUUUUAAAAACACCUAAAGGGAAACAAAACGAAUCAAAACAAAAACAAAGCCAGCCCUUCUCAUAGAGUUAAGUUUUAGAGGCAGGGACCCGCCCGCCUCCCCAGUUUAACCUUUGAAACCUAUUUCAAAACCAGGCUGGCUUCUGGCCAGGGCUCCCAGAACUUUCAGGGAGCAGGUCACCUACGGCCUAGUUUCCUAAUCUGGUCCAAUCUUGCACAACCUGACCUCAGGGUGGGUGGAGCAGGCACCCCUGCCCUUCCCACAGGCGCCUGUGCUCUUUUUCCCCGGGGAUCUUUCUUGUUUCCAACUCCUCUAGCUGAACUCAAUCUGCUCUCUUGGUGCACUGCCUUCCAUUCCUGUCUGUUUAAUCAGAAUUAAUUCUCUGAGGGAGUGACUCCAAGCCUCUUGUCCUUGGACAUUCUACAGGCCUCAUGUUCAAGGUGUCCAGAAUGUACCUUGUUACUCUCCCUACCACCAGCCUUCCUGCUGUAAAUGACCAAAAUAAACCUCUGAGCUUGCCCUAUGUCUGGUUUGUCAGUCUGGGACAAGCCCUCCUUCCAUCCUUUGUUUCCAAAUCCUCUUCCCACUUUGCUCUUUUCUCUCCCAGUCACACACACUUAAAGCUUAGGCUAAUCCUUACCCCAAAUAUCUUUUCUCUGUCUGAGUGUAACCUCACCUUCCUGUCCUUUGUCCCCACUAUUUCCAUACUUGUCCCUGUUUGUUAAUCCUGUUCCCACAUCUUGCACACCACUGACUUGGUUGACUUUGGAAAGUUAGGAUGGAAACCAUAGUGGAAUUGGUCAACGCAAGUGUGGGUGUCGGGCUUAUUUUGAUGGUGGAAUAGUGCAGCAAUACUAUGUUGUCCUAUGGUUUGUUGACUCCUUCCCCAGUGAUGGACAUGUGCUUUGUUUCCAGUUUGCGGCUAUUGUGGGUGAAUAUUUGUGUAUGUGUCUCCAUGUGGACACAUUUUCCUUCCUCUUGAGUAGAUGCCAAGGAUUAGGACUAAUGGGUCACAAGGUAAGUACAUGUCUAAUGCUUUGACACAUUGCCAAGUUGUUUUCUAGGGUAAUUUUACAUCCCCACCAGCAAUGGACGAGGAUGCCAGGUAUUCCACACCCUUGUCAACACUUGUUAUUGUCGGAUGUUUUCAUGUUAAUCAUUCUACCGGUGCAAUAGUGUUUGUAAUUUAAAUUUGCAUUUCCUUGAGUGGCACGAGAUAUCUUUCAGAAACCAUGGGCGGUUUGUGUAAUUCUUUUGACAGCUUUCUUGAACCUAUUCAUUUAGGGAGCCGUGCUUGUGCACUGUGUGUAGGUUAAAGGGUACUUGAGAGACUUGCAUGCACCACUGUGUGUAGGUCAGAGGAUACUUGGCAGGGUAUGUUCUCUCUUUCCAUCCUGUGGAUUCAGAGGCUGAAAUUCAGGUCACUGGGUCAGCAGCAAGUGCCUUUAUCUGCUGAGUCAUCUCAUUAACCCUGUUUGACUCUUCCAUGAAGUGUCUGUCCAACUGUUUCCUUAUUUUUAAUUAAGUUGCAUUUGGGCUAGAGAGAUGGAGGGCUCAAUAGUUAAGAAUACUUGUUCUUACAGAAGAUCUGAGUUCGGUUCUCAGCACCCACAUCAGACAGCUCACAAUUUUCUCUAACUCCAGCCCCAGUGGACCUGAUGAUGCCCUCUUCUGGCCUCUGUGAACACCUAAACACAAGUGGCAUAUACUCAAACAAACACAUAGUUAUACAAAAAUAAAAAUGAGUAAGUCCAUUAUGCUGCAUGUCUGAAAUGAUCUCUAAAUUUUGAUGAUAUUCCACAACCCCUGUGUCUUUCUUUUUCUUCCUAUUUUUGGUUUUUAGAAACAGGGUUUUCCUGUGUAGCCUUAGAUGUCCUAGAAUUCACUCUGUAGACUAAGAUGGCCUCAAACUCACAGAGAUCUGCCUGCCUCUGUCUCCCGAGUGCUGAAAUUAAAGGUGUCUGCCACCACCUCUACUACCUGUGUUUUUAGUUUUCUUUACUUAUACAGUCUUCAUUUUGUUCUGGUGUCAGAGUAAAAUGAGCUGAAAUUGCCUUCUCUCUCCUCUGUGAACCUAUACAGAACUGACACCAGUCUGCCUCUAAAUGUUUGACAGGAUCCACAAAUGGAGCCAGCUUGGGGGGAUUUCAUGGAUAGCCUUUAAAUUAAUUACAAAUUUAGUUUAAAAAUGCUCUUUAUUUAAGCUGCCAGAUUUUGUUCACUUUAUUUUGUAUGCAUAUGUACAUACUUAAGAACACAUGCAGAGGUCAGAAGAAAAUUUAUGGGAGUCAAUUCUCCCCUUCUACCAUAUGGGUUCCAAGGACUGAAUUUACUUUAUCAGGCUUGAUGACACACACCUUUAGCUGUUGAGUCACCCCAAUGGCUCCUGAACUUUUAAAAUAUAUAAUCAUGUCAGCAAAAAAAAAAAAAAAGGUAUUAUAGUAUAAGACAGACAUUACUAGUCCUUUUGUGAACUUUACAUGUAUUUUUAAAGUCCUUAAUGUUUUAGUUAAUUUGGUUACUGCACUAUAUCAAGCAGGUUUGCUAGAAUCCUGCAGUAACUUGUAAGAGGAUUUAAUACUGUCCCACAUCUUCAAGAGGUAACAUUAGGAUCCCAGCAAUUAGGAGCUGAGGCACACAGUCUGAAAAGGAACCUGUAGCCUGGAACAUAUAAACAGUGAAUUUUUAAAAUUUUGUGAUGAAAGGAGGAAAAGAAAGGAAGAAAGAAAGAAAGGAAGGAAGGAAGGGAGAGGGGGGGAGGGAGGGAGGGAGAGACAGAGAGAGGAAGAAAGGAAGGAAGGAAGGAAGGAAGAAAAGAAAGAAAGAAAGAAAGAAAGAAAGAAAGAAAGAAAGAAAGAAAGAAAGAAAGAAAGAAAGAAAGAAAGAAAGAAAGAAAGAAAGAAAGAAAGAAAAAAAGCUCUUUUAAAGAGGCAAUUCUCAAGAAUUGGACAAAAGUUUAGUGACCUCAAGGUGAGAGGAGUCAACAGAUGCUAGCACUGGGAGCCUGAAGGAUGCUCAAACUGUCUGGCACUAGUUCUUAAAAGCUGGUAAAGGAAGAGAUGUGUGUCUACAGUGAGCCUGAUGACGGCAAAUCUGAGAUAAAGGGAUCGUCUGACAGACCAGGAAGCUUGGCCACAGGGCCUGACACUAAAGGGAGAGUGGGUGCCACAGACAGUAGAGUGAUGCCCUCAUGGAAUGGAAGAGUUCAGAUGAGGCAGGCUUGGCUUUUGCAAAAGAGCCAGAUCUUAAACACCCUCAGAUUGUAAUUGUUGACUUCAUACACUCAUACAGAAUAUACACCUUAGUCAUUGCAAUGUGCGUACACACACACAUACAUACACACAGUCACAUAUACACAAGACAACAUGUAGAUAUACACAGAAACACACACAGAUUUCACCUAUUACUAAGUUAUAGCAUGCCUCGUUAGGGCCACCUGAGUAUCUUAUUUAAGGGAUUGUUCAGAUCAUAUUGGCCUGGGGACACAUUUGUGGGGUAUUUUUUUACUGUUAAUUGGUAUAGGAGGGCACAGCCCGCUGUGGGCAGAGCCAUUCACUGGGCAUGUGGUCCUGAACUGCAUAGAGAAGGAGUUAAGCAUGAGCCUGUGAAUCAGUCAGCAAGCAGCGUCCCCCACCGUUCCUGCUGUUCUUCAUGUGAGAAGAGUGAGUUCCCUGGUCAGAGGCAAUGCUGCACGGAAUAGCAAGCAGGCUCCCUUCAGGUUCCUGCCCUGAUUUCCCUCAAUGGCAGACUGUGAUCUAGAAGUGCAGUGUUUUAUCAUAGAAACAGAAUGAAACUGGAGCACAUUACUAAUGUAACUUACUUCUCUCCCUCCCCCACUCCUUCCUUCUCUUCUGACUUUGUUUGCUGUCUCGUUUAAGCUGGCUUUGAAAUUUCAGUCGUCUUGCCUCAGCCUCCCAAGUAACAGCAUUAUAGGCCUGACACUGCACUUAUCUUUUUUAUAUUUCAUGUAUGAACUAAAGUUUGCAUUUACAAAAAACACAGAAGUGUGUCCUGGCCUGCAUUGCUUCAGUGUCAAAUACUUUUAAACCAAAGAGAUUAUAAGUGGCCACACACGAGGAUGCAGUCAGACAAGCAUUUUCAUUCGUCUUUUGAACCAUCAUCUGCCAUGGCUUAUUAGUCUGAUUAAAUGCAGGAAUAUGCUAGAAAUGAGGGCUAGAGUAUUCCCCACUCUUUUUAAUUAUUAUACACGAAUAAUAAUUCGUAGUAAUUAACUCAUAAUAAUGGGUUUCACUGUGACAUGUCGUUCAUGUGUAUGAUGUAUUUUGAUCAUGUGCACCUCAUCACCCUCUGUUGUCCCCCUCUCAUCCCUGAUGAUCCCCUCCUACUCCUCUCUUGCCUGCACUCUACUUCCUUGUCUUUUCUUUCUCUUCUUUGAGCCACUGAGUUUUAUUAUGGUUGCUUACAGGAGCACAGACAUCCUACGAGUGGAUAAGCCACUGAAGAAGCAUCUCUCAGUUUCUCAGCAACCAUCAACAGCAAAAGCUCCACGUGGAGAGCCUGGUAUCGGGAGCCUGUCCCAAGGACUGGAGUCUUGAGCUGCAUGCUGAGGGUUGGAGAGGAAGCCCUGGCCCUGAGAUCUCCUGCACACCAGGUGUGUGAGACUCUACUGUGCUGGACACCUCCCACACAUAACUGUGAGUCCUUGGAGUUUGCUUCCAUGUGGAACACAAGGCAUAGUAAAGGAUAUAUAAUGCAGAUGUGCUAAACUGAAGCUUACACGUGUAUGAUUAAAACUUGGUGGAAUAGAAAGCCACCAGAGGAGUGCUCUGUCUCCAUAGUCUGCAGGCUUUGUUUAGAACUGCCAAGGGCAGGGUGAUAACAGCAAGCUAUAACAGCUUGUCCCUGUAUGGUCCAUGUCUAGGCCACAUGCUUGCCCAUCUGCCCACACCUAGGCUCUGAAGACUGCCCUUAUGACGUCACCAUCAAAGACCAAUUAUUCUCUGAUUACCAUAUCACAUCAUUUGACCUGUCAAUCAAUAUUACUUUA